AGCACUUAGGUUUGCUUCUGUUUAACUUGUGGACAAAGACUUACAGACUGGUACCCACCCCCCCAAAAAAAGAAAGAAAGAAAAUCCUCUUUUGCAACCCAGAACUCAUUGUUCAGUAUGAGCUUUGAUACUUAUAAGAAGGAACAUC